AAAAGGUUUGCCAAUUGAGUUUUGGUGUUGACAUGCUCAGGCAAUAUUAGACCAUCUUUAAUGGUGCCUCGAACAAAAUGGUAGUCUAUCUUUAUAUGCUUCGUUAUUUCAUGAUAGAUAGGACUGGAUGCAAUUUGGAUAGCUGUCUUGCUAUCACAAAAUAAUUUUACAGGCUUAGUGACAGAUACAUUCAGCUCUUCUAACAGUCCAGUUAGCCAAAUCACCUCUGAAACUGCAGCUGCUAUACUUCUAUAUUCUGUCUCUGCUGAGCUUCUACUCACAGUGUGUUGCUCUUUUGAUUUUCAUGAUAUAAGAGAAUCCCCCAUCUUCACAAUGUAUCCCGACUGUCUCGUAUUUGGGCAGGCUGCCCAAUCACUAUCACAGUACACAGUCAACUAUGUGUAUGAACUAUUUUUCAGCAGAACACCCUGACCAGAUGACCCUUUCAAGUACCUUACCAAUCUAAGUGUUGCUUCCCAAUAUGAGACUUUAGGUUGCUGCAUGAAUUGGCUAAGCACUUUUACAACAAAGCUAAUAUAUGGUCUGGUCAUAGUGAAAUAGAUUAGUCUCCCAAUAAGCUUCUGAUAUGAGGUAAUGUCUGUAAGAAUAGGAUAUGUGAUUCCUCCUACAUGUGCAUCAUAGUCUACUGUGGUAAACUUAGCAUUUGCUUUCAAAGGUGUGUUCACUGGCUUGGCUCCACUUAAGCCAACAUCAGAGAUUAGCUCAAGGAUAUACUUUCUCUGAUUAAGUAGUAUCCCCUUCUGAGAUUCCAGAACUUCAAUCCCCAAAAAUAUUUGAGCUCACCUAGAUCUUUUACCUUGAAAUACUUAUGUAGUGUUUGUUUUGCUUGAUCAAUUAAUCUUCCACUAUUUCCAGUAAUAAGGAGAUCAUCCGCAUUCACUAGAAUGAUAACUAUCUCAUUUCUUUCUUUUCUAGUAAAUAAAGAAUGAUCAUAGGUACUAAAUGUAGUUAGCUGCUUUAAGAGCAUCAGUCAGCUAUAUGUUUCAUUGCAUGGAUGCCUAUUUCAAACCAUAUAACGAUUUGAGAAGUUUGCACACCUUAUACUCCCCUGGCUUUGGAACCCUUGAGGCAAAACCAUGUAGACUUCUUCCAAUAAAUCUCCUUGUAGAAAAGCAUUAUUGAUAUCCAUUUGGUAUAUAGGCCAAUUGUGUGAAGCUCCAACACCAAUCACUGUCCUGACAGUUACCAUCUUGGCAACUGGGGGAAAAGUUUCAUAGUAGUCCAAUUCCUCUUGCUGAGUGUAGCCUUUAGCUACAAGUCUUCCCUUGUACUUGUCUACUUCUCCAUUUGGCUUGUACUUGAUCUUAUAUACCCAUUUUGAUCCAACUGCUUGCUUCCCUUUAGGUAGGUAUACUAGCUCCCAAGUCUGAUUUUGUUCUAAUGCAUUAAUUUCUUAUUGCAGAGCUUCAAUCCACUUCUAAUCUAUGGAUGCCUCAUUGAAGGUUUUUGGUUCUGUAUGAGCUGAGAAUAGGCUGAGAUAUUCUUGAUAGGCUCCAGACAAGUGAUCAUACCCCACAUAAUUAGCAAUGGAAUAUGAACACAUGGUAGGCUUUACUGCAGUGGUGACAUGAUCUUUGAGCCAAAUAGGUGGCUUGAUUACUCUCUUUCCUUUGCCACAAUCAGGCAUUUGUUCUCCAACACUUUGUUCACCAACACUGACUUCUUCAGCUGGUUCUGAAGCCUGCAUAGGUUCUAUAGGAUCUGCUGAUGUAUUGGAUUGUGAAUAGGUGGCAUGACCUUCUGUGUCUGCAAUAUGUACUGUCUGCAUCUCAUGAUCAACAUUGGAAACUGGUUCUGCUGCUUCUUCAAAUCCUACAGAGUUGUCUACUUGUUGAACUGCAAGAGGUUGAUCCUCAUACACAUUAUAAUCUUGUGUAUGUUUAACAUUGUUUGUCAUGUCUGUAAGAGGCAUAAACAACACCUCCGCUUACUUCUCAACUGGCAUUAAUCUAAAGGGGGAAAUCUCUUCUCUGAAGCUAACAUCCUUGCUAACAAAGAAAAUUUUUGAGUCUAGAUCAAACAGUCUAUAUCCUUUCUAAGUCUCAGAGUAUCCCAUCAGUACUGCCUUUCUAGAUCUUGGAGCUAGCUUUUCACCCCUAGGUAAAGUGCUUGCAUAACACAAAUAUCUAAAUACCCUAAUAUGGUCCAGUUUGGGCUCCUUGCCAUGAAGCAAUUUGUAGGGUAAAUUUCCAUCCAACAUUGUAGUAAGUAACUUAUUGAUCAAGUAGACUGCAGUCUUCACACAUUCUCCCUAGAAUUUGAUAGGGAUGGAACUGUAAAUCUUCAGGGCUCUUGCAACUUCCAAUGUAUACCGAUGCUUUCUUUCUACUAUACCAUUUUGUUGGUAUGUAAGCACAACUGCUUUGGUGAAUUAUACCAAGAGAAGAGAAUAAUUCAUUACAUUGAGAGUUGAAAAUUUCUGUUCCAUUAUCUUAUCUUAAUGUUUUCACAGUGACAUCAAACUGAUAUCCUAUCAUUGCUAAAAAAUUAUUGAGUACAAUUAAGACCUCACAUUUUGACUGAAUCAGACAAAUCCAAGUGUAUCUACUGUAGUCAUCAACGAUGGUUACAAAAUACUGCUUUCUACCAAAUGUAAGAUUUCUUUAGGGCCCC
rnacentral:lncRNA from 1 species